rnacentral:tRNA from 1 species
UCCCAGGUAGCUCAAAUGGUAAAGAAUCUGCCUGCAGUGUGGGAGACCUGGGUUCGAUCCCUGGCUUGGGAA